rnacentral:rRNA from 1 species
AUUGAACGCUGGCGGCAGGCCUAACACAUGCAAGUCGAACGAGUGGCGGACGGGUGAGUAAUGUCUGGGAAACUGCCUGAUGGAGGGGGAUAACUACUGGAAACGGUAGCUAAUACCGCAUACCAUCAGAUGUGCCCAGAUGGGAUUAGAUAGUUGGUGGGGUAACAGCUCACAAUGGAGACGAUCCUUAGCUGGUCUGAAGGGAUGACCAGCAACACUGGAACUGAGACACAGUCCAGACUCAUCCAGGAGGCAGCAGUGGGGAAUAUUGCACAAGGGGCGAAAGCCUGAUGCAGCCAUGCCGCGUGUAUGAUGAAGGCCUUCGGGUUGUAAAGUACUUUCAGCGGGGAGGCGUUACCCGCAGAAGAAGCACCGGCUAACUCCGUGCCAGCAGCCGCGGUAAUUC